rnacentral:rRNA from 1 species
CAGCCGCCACGGGAAUACGUAGGGUGCGAGCGUUAAUCGGAAUUACUGGGCGUAAAGCGUGCGCAGGCGGUUGUGUAAGACAGGUGUGAAAUCCCCGGGCUUAACCUGGGAACUGCGCUUGUGACUGCACAGCUAGAGUAUGGCAGAGGGGGGUGGAAUUCCACGUGUAGCAGUGAAAUGCGUAGAGAUCGGAAAGAACACCAACGGCGAAAGCACUCUGCUGGGCCGACACUGACACUGAGAGACGAAAGCUAGGGGAGCAAAUGGGAUUAGAUACCCCGGUAGUCCCUGUCUCUUAUAC